UGAUGCUUCUUGCCUGAGCAAUUAUUACUAUGGUGGUUGUCAAAUUGUGGCUUUCUAAUUCUAGAAUUCCUUCUAUAAUUGGUUGGAAGUCUUUGGAAUGCAGUUUUAACAGUUCUAUCUACUUCUUACUUGCCUUGUUCCUAGGGCCUACCCCUUUAGGGUUUUCAACUGAAAUCCUGGGUCUUUCCUUUUGAGAGAAGUUGAACUCUGAUCUUUUAUCUUUGUACUGUGACUCUGCAAAAUUCUGCUCUGGUUUACAGAGGUCUGGGCUUAGCUUUUAAGGUUGCCAUCUUAUAAAAUUUCCAACUUCACUAAAUGAUAUGAAACCUGAGCUUUGAGGCUUCUCAAGCCUUCAAUUUUGUUACUCCAGCUCAUGAGACUACAAAAACCUCUGCUAAUUUCUCGUCUCACCUGCAGCCUUCUGCCCAGGGAAAACCUGGAUCCUUAGCCUCUUGACAGAGUCAGCAAAUCCAAGUGGCCGAAAAUUGUCACUUUGCAUCUCCACGGUUCUCCCCUCUCCACAAAUUAACUCUUCUGGCUGCUGUUGCUUCUGUAACUCUCUAAACUUGAAAUAUUGCCUGUUCCUCUGGCUUUUCUAGUUAUUUUCAUUGGGAGUAUUAUUUGGCUGCCAACUACUCCAUCCUACCCAGAAAUGCCUCAGAGGUCUCUCAACCCUCUCUGUUCCAGCCUCAGUCUUCUGUGGUGAUGGGGAGUGGUCCCACCUCCCUUUUGAGUCAGCGAGAAGGGACUCUCCCAAUCUAUGGUUUGGGUGUGAAUCCUCGCUUUCUGGCAGAGAUGGACCCCGUCAAGAAUGCUGCACUCCUUACUGUGGGCAACGCCAGCCCUGAUGAUGAGGGCACCUACUACUGUGCCAUGUGGUUUUCAGGCCAGUAUGUCUUUGCAGAAGGUACCCGUCUGCUCUAUCAGGCUAAGAUGCAGUCCCCUUUCUGGCCACCUGAGCUGAGCCUGUUCAUCCCUGCCUCGGGUCCUCCCUUCCAUGUACUUUGUGUGGCGCUAGGACACAACCCUGACCCUCUGAGGGUCUCCUGGUCCUGUGAGGCCAAUCCCAGAAGGGAGAGGACUCCACUGGAGGAGCUGGGGAUCCCGUGGUCAGCUGGCUGCAGCUGUGCUGGGAGGCAGCUGGCAUGUCUGUGACUUGCCAAGGCUUGCACCAGAGCGGAGUCUUACAAGUUGUGCUACCCUUGCCCUGUGGCCAGUGGUGCAAGAGAAGCCCAGAACCGGAGAACUGGAAUGAAACUCCUGAGAAGAGUGGAUACAUUCCUCUAGACUGUCCAAAUUUCUCCAUAAAUACAGAGAAUUUGUGAAGACACUGUUGUGCUGUUGUUAUGGGCAAGGGAGGUGGGAUCCCAGGACCAACACUCCCAGUGGACGCCUCUACAGGGUCGGCAGAUUCUGGCACAGUUGCUGAAAAUGAAUCUGAGGAGUUCUCAGGACACCCCAGUCUGCUCUCACUGGGCAUCCCAGCACUCCAAUCCUGGUCCUACGUUUUACUCUGCUUGACCUACUGAGUUGAGGAGAUAGAAAGGACGCCAGCAAGUGCGGGGAGCAUCAGCAUCAAGUUCCGAAGUGCACACAGCUGGACAGCUGGAGGGGUCCUCCCAGUCACCAGAGAAGAUUUCACAAGUAAAAACCUGCAAACUCUUUAUUAAAUUCUCCCAUUUCAUCUGUACAGAAAAAAAUGCACAUUAUGUUCAGGAUCUCAGUAACAUCUCAAAAUUACACAGCAUGAACAUGUAAAAACAAGGAACUGCCGGGAUUUUAUACAUAGAAAGAAAAAUCAUUUACAAAAGAGGCUUGUUAAUUUUACUUUUUUUUCUUUCUUAAAAAAAAAAAAAAAAGUUCAAGGCCUAAGAUCUCACACAGCAUCUGCUGUCCAGUCUGUUUUCCCGUUUGGACUGACCAGGGAACACGGAGCCAGGAGCAGCCGCUCAUGAAGCCUCCUGCUGCCAGCACUCUUGCCGGCCACUCCUCCCCGGGCACCACAGCCUGCCUCGGGGGGCCUGGUCUCACCUCCCUGGCUCUGGCGUAGGCCUGCUGGGCUCUGGGGUCCAGGUGUCGACUCCAUGAUGGGGGAAGGCAAAAACAGAAUAUAGAGGCACUAUCUGAAUUUUCUCCUUGCCCAGGGAGGUUUCUCUAAUGCCCGUAUCCUAACAUCCCUACCGGUGUGUUGUGACAGAUCUUGGGAAAGGGGGAGGGAUCCUGCCAUCAGGAUCCUGUCACCACUAGCCCAAGCAGAGUCCCACUCCAGGCUCUAGAUGACAAACAGUCCCUGGGGCUCCACUGUGACCUCACUAAAUGGCUUGGGGAAGCUUGUCACUCUGAAGAGUCUGUCUGGGUUUGCUAUGAGUUGUCUGUUGUCUGAGGUCGGGGCAGGAAGGGGAUUUGCCUUCAAACUCACUGCCCUAACAUGUGACUCUGGUCCUAAGGAGAAGAGGACCAAAAGGAGUGUACUAGAGAGAUGGCUGACCAGAGACAAAUGAGACAGUAAGAAAGACAGAGGCAGGCCAGAACAUCAGCUCUGGCCCCACGGCCCUUGGGAAUCAGGGGCCAGGGGAGAAGAGGUGAAGAAAGAGAACCGUCCCUAAAGGCCCAGGAGAAACUCAGGGUACUGGAGUGCUGCAUUUGAUAAAGCAACGCAGGUGCUGUCCAAAUGGUGAGGAAAAAAAGGGAUCUUUCAGGUUUCCCAAAUUCCCAAGACUCUGAAAUACAAAUAAUAUAUACCAAAAUGCACACAAUUCAAAAAGCCCUCUUCUUUUUGUUCUGUGGCAAAAUCUAGGUGAAACAUGUCAGGCUGGGUUGGCUGGCGUCCGUGGCUCUCUGUAUCCACUGACGUAACAAAGCUGUCCAGGGAAUGCGGCUAGUUUUUGUUGGGGAAGGGGAAGAAACAGGAAGUGAAGCCUUUUCUCAGAACUUGAGACCAGCUGAGAAAGGAGGCCCCAUGAAGCAAUCUACCUCUUCCCAGAUGACUCACGGUAGUGGGGUCUUUGGGCUGAAGCUGUGCCACAGCCUGGAGGUGGGGAGGAGGGGAGGCAUUUCCAGAGAUCAAACUCACACACGAGAGUGAAUCUUUUCUUGGGAAAGUAGAGGGAAGUCAGCAGAAAAGCUCCUUUCUGCUUUGUCUGAUGGUAUGUUUAACAUAUACAGACCUCGGGUAAUACAGACCUCUUUACAACUGGAUUCUUUUAUUACAUGACUUCAGGAAAUGGGAAGAAGUGAGAUCUGAUCAUGUCACCUCUUGGGGAAGCAGAAUCUCCCUCUCCCCUUUCCCCAGUGGAGCUGUUCACUGUCCCCCAGAAAAGGAAGUGGAGGACAGGAGACAGAGGAAGGCCUGCUGAGUACCAGAAUCUCCUGGCUUCUUAGGAUGCGCAGGUUCAGAACAAGCUGACGGACCCACAGAGCUGGGAGCAGUACCACAGGGUCUCCAGGAAAUGCAGAGGAGGAAGGCUUUCCUACUCAGAGCAAACCCAAGCCUUUGCUCUGCUCCCACCUCGGCACAUCUUGCUAGCAGACUCUUCCUGAGGAAGGCCAGGGACGCACCAGGGUAAGGGUCUCACUUCCAGAGCUACCGUCCAUGAGAGGAACUCAGAGGGAACAGUCCUGUUCUUGCCAGUCUGCCUGCACUUCUGAUCUCCCAGCCCAGGAGAGAAGGCUCCUGUGCCUCUUGAAUGUUGUGGAGCUAUGUGUGAGUGCACGGACAAGACUAGAUGAGUAACCUGGCUACUGUAAUUUUCAGCAAGUGCCUGAAGUCUUGAUCUUGGAAUCCCCCAAUACCCAAUCCCACCCCCACCCUCCCUACCACCCCACCCCCCACCCCCCAGGGCCCAACAUUGGCUGUUUGUUAUUGUUCACGGGCUAGAUACCAGAAGAGAUUGGCUCUUCCACUAGGGCCAUGGUUUCCUUUUUGAUUAACCCUUGACUAGCUGAUUUACGCACGACAGACCCAAGAGGCCCAGAACCAGUGCUGUUACAUGGAAUGAGGGCCAGAAUGGAUACAGCUGGGCUGCAGGUUCAGAAGGUACUGGGCCCCCUGGAGGUAGAACACUGCUCAGGACACCACCUGGGACUCUCAAGAACCAGCCACACGAAACUAUUCCAAGCAGGAUGGUGAAAUGCUUUUCUAGCAACAAGCAACUGAAAAUACUGGCAGAAGUAUCCCUUUUAUUUUGACCAUUU